rnacentral:lncRNA from 1 species
GUGUACCAUACAUCUGGCGUAAAACCACACAGCAUUUCAUAAAAGACAUCAUACCAACAGUACAAACACAUCCAUGGGAGAGUUCCAAGGCAAAACCAUUGCUGACCAAAAAGAACACAAAGGCUCGUGUCACAUUUGCAAAAUAAUAUCUUGAUUAUCCCUAAGACUUUUGGGCAAGUGAACUGAUGCAACAAAAGUAGAACUUUUUGGAAGGUGUCUGUGUACCAUACAUCUGGCGUAAAACCAACACAGCAUUUCAUAAAAAGAACAUCAUACCAACAGUCAAACAUGGUGGUGGUAGUGUGAUGGUCUGGGGCUGCUUUGCAGCUUCAGGACCUGGACGACUUACCAUAAUUGAUGGAACCAUGAAUUCUGCACUCUAUUAGAAAACCCUGAAGGAGAAUGUCCAGCCAUCAGUAUGUGAACUCAAGCGCACUUGGACAAUCCCAAACACACCAGCAAGUCCACCUCUGAAUGGCUCAAGAAAAACAAAAUUAAGGUUUUGGAGUGGUCAAAACAACUGACUCCUCAUGCUUUCUUAUAGAGGUAUAAACCUCGAAUUAUAGCCAUCUCAAAUUCCAGUGUAGCAAACGGCAUGAUAUCUGGGAAAUGUUUUGGGUCUUGGAAUCCCUAUAAAAGACAGAGGCGAGGCUUUACUCCUCACACUUUCACUACAGCUCCACUAGGACUUACUACUUUGUCUGAAAGCUCAGCAAACUACUGCAGCUGAUUUUAUAUAUAUAUAUAUAUUUUUUUAGUGUUUCUUACCUUAUACACUAGCCAAGUUAAUUAUGGCAUUUUUACCCAGAGCCCUUCUCCUGCUGCUGCUUGCAGUAGUUUGUAUUCAACUGAGUGGAGUCCUAGCUGAGGAACAAGGUGUGACCUGGUUUAAAUCACGCAAGUGUCAAUCUCUUAACCUGCAUAUAAUAAAAUGUUACAUAUUAUAUUUAUAGUGACAUCCUUAGAAACUAUAAGUUUGUAAACUGGCUAUAUAUAUAUGUGAACAAGAGCUUUUUUAUGCAGAAUUAAUAAACUAACAACUAACUCCUAGUUAAUUUUUUAGUUUUUAAAUUACUACCAUCAAUAAACAAAAAAAAAGAAAAAAAAAUAAUAAUAAUAAUAAUAAUAAUAAUAAUAAUAAUAAUAAUAAUAAUAAUAAUAAUAAUAAUAAUAAUAAUAAUAAUAAUAAUAAUAAUAAUAAUAAUAAUAAUAAUAAUAAUAAUAAUAAUAAUAAUAAUAAUAAUAAUAAUA